rnacentral:rRNA from 1 species
GUCCACACCGUAACGAUGAUUACUAGAUUUGGCCGCAAGGUCAGAGUCCAAGCGAAAGUGUUUAGUAAUCCACCUGGGAGUACGUCCGCAAGGAUGAAACUCAAAGGAAUUGACGGGCCCGCACAAGCGGUGGAGCAUGUGGUUUAAUUCGAUGAUACGCGAGGAACCUUACCUGGGCUUGAAAGUUAGUGACCGCUCCUGAAAGGGAGUUUCCCGCAAGGGCACGAAACUAGGUGCUGCAUGGCUGUCGU